rnacentral:lncRNA from 1 species
AACUUCAAAUUCAGAUCGGGGUUUAAAAAGUUCAAAGAGACUGACUGCGGAAUUUUUCUCUUUUUCGGCCACCGCUGACGGCAGUGCCGGCGGCAGAGAUCAACGGCCGGCGCAGUGGCCAGUGACCGGCCGAUGACCGGACCUAGGUCGGACAUCUGGGGAGAGGGUAGACGGGAGAGCUUUUUGUAGUUUUUUUUUGUUUUUUUAAAGGAGGCUUAAAAUGAAAUUUUGGGAAGGGUAAGUGGCUUAAAUAACCCUUCAAAAUGGCGUCGUUUUGAACCUGGGUUAACCCGAAUCCCGACCCGACCCGGCCUAGGAUACGCGUGUUUUUCAUACGGAGGGGCAAAUUGUGCUUUUGGCCCAUCCGCCUUUUAAUAUAUUUCUAAUUAGGUUUUUUUUGUUUUCGUCCUUUAAUUUAUUUUAAAUUUCAAUUUAAC